GAGAGCGGGAGGCCGAGGCCUGAGGCCUAGAGGACAGAGAGAGAGAGAAUGUGAGUGGGAGAAAUAAAAACAGAAAGAGAAAAUCAGAAGUACUGUCAGGAUGAAUUCCCUUAUUUCAGAUACAGUGGAUCCACUGCAAGUUGAAGGGAAUGAAGAGCAAUUCUUUGAGACAGAGCAAUCCUUGCUGAGUCCAGAAGAGACAGAUGAGUCUGGAUUUUUUGAGUACGUUCUGAACUGAGCAUUUCUUCAGAUGUUCUUGUCUGUCAGUUUGUUUGGUUUCAAAGAUCAAAAUAUACUUCUGAACAUUUAA